AUUGAACGCUGGCGGAAUGCUUUACACAUGCAAGCCGAACGGUAGAGGGGCAACCCUUGAGAGUGGCGAACGGGUGAGUAAUGUAUCGGAACAUGCCCAGUCGUGGGGGAUAACGUAGCGAAAGUUACGCUAAUACCGCAUACGAUCUAUGGAUGAAAGCGGGGGAUCGCAAGACCCCGCGCGAUUGGAGUGGGCGAUAUCAGAUUAGGUAGUUGGUGGGGUAAAGGCCUACCAAGCCGACGAUCUGUAGCUGGUCUGAGAGGACGACCAGCCACACUGGGACUGAGACACGGCCCAGACUCCUACGGGAGGCAGCAGUGGGGAAUUUUGGACAAUGGGCGAAAGCCUGAUCCAGCCAUUCCGCGUGCAGGAAGAAGGCCUUCGGGUUGUAAACUGCUUUUGUACGGAACGAAACGCGCUGUGCUAAUACCACGGCGUAAUGACGGUACCGUAAGAAUAAGCACCGGCUAACUACGUGCCAGCCGCCGCCGUAA
rnacentral:rRNA from 1 species